GAUGAACGCUGGCGGCGUGCCUAAUACAUGCAAGUCGAGCGAACAGACGAGGAGCUUGCUCCUCUGACGUUAGCGGCGGACGGGUGAGUAACACGUGGAUAACCUACCUAUAAGACUGGGAUAACUUCGGGAAACCGGAGCUAAUACCGGAUAAUAUAUUGAACCGCAUGGUUCAAUAGUGAAAGACGGUUUUGCUGUCACUUAUAGAUGGAUCCGCGCCGCAUUAGCUAGUUGGUAAGGUAACGGCUUACCAAGGCAACGAUGCGUAGCCGACCUGAGAGGGUGAUCGGCCACACUGGAACGGGGACACGGUCCAGACUCCUACGGGAGGCAGCAGUAGGGAAUCUUCCGAAAUGGGCGAAAGCCUGACGGGGCAACGCCGCGUGAGUGAUGAAGGUCUUCGGAUCGUAAAACUCUGUUAUUAGGGAAGAACAAAUGUGUAAGUAACUAUGCACGUCUGGACGGUACCUAAUCAGAAAGCCACGGCUAACUACGU
rnacentral:rRNA from 1 species